rnacentral:rRNA from 1 species
GAACGGAACCUUCGGGUUUAGUGGCGGACGGGUGAGUAACGCGUGAGAAUCUGCCUCUAGGUCGGGGACAACAACUGGAAACGGUUGCUAAUACCCGAUGUGCAGCAAUGUGAAAGAUUUAUUGCCUAGAGAUGAGCUCGCGUCUGAUUAGCUAGUAGGUGUGGUAAUGGCGCACCUAGGCGACGAUCAGUAACUGGUCUGAGAGGAUGACCAGUCACACUGGGACUGAGACACGGCCCAGACUCCUACGGGAGGCAGCAGUGGGGAAUUUUCCGCAAUGGGCGAAAGCCUGACGGAGCAAGACCGCGUGAGGGAAGAAGGUCUGUGGAUUGUAAACCUCUUUUGAUAGGGAAGAAGAUAGUGACGGUACCUAUCGAAUCAGCCUCGGCUAACUCCGUGCCAGCAGCCGCGGUAAUACGGAGGAGGCAAGCGUUAUCCGGAAUUAUUGGGCGUAAAGAGUCCGUAGGUGGGUGACCAAGUCAGUUGUUAAAUAGUGAAGCUUAACUUCAUAGAGGCGACUGAAACUGGUCAUCUAGAGUGUGGUAGGGGUAGAGGGAAUUUCCAGUGUAGCGGUGAAAUGCGUAGAUAUUGGAAAGAACACCGGUGGCGAAAGCGCUCUACUGGGCCUGCACUGACACUGAGGGACGAAAGCUAGGGGAGCGAAAGGGAUUAGAUACCCCUGUAGUCCUAGCCGUAAACGAUGAUAACUAGGUGUUGCCCGUAUCGACCCGAGCCGUGCCGAAGCA